CCUACGGGAGGCAGCAGUGGGGGAUAUUGGACAAUGGGGGGAACCCUGAUCCAGCGACGCCGCGUGAGUGAAGAAGUAUUUCGGUAUGUAAAGCUCUGUCAGCAGGGAAGAAAGAAAUGACGGUACCUGACCAAGAAGCCCCGGCUAACUACGUGCCAGCAGCCGCGGUAAUACGUAGGGGGCAAGCGUUAUCCGGAAUUACUGGGUGUAAAGGGAGCGUAGACGGCAGCACAAGUCUGGAGUGAAAUGCCGGGGCUUAACCCCGGAACUGCUUUGGAAACUGUGCAGCUAGAGUGCAGGAGAGGUAAGUGGAAUUCCUAGUGUAGCGGUGAAAUGCGUAGAUAUUAGGAGGAACACCAGUGGCGAAGGCGGCUUACUGGACUGUAACUGACGUUGAGGCUCGAAAGCGUGGGGAGCAAACAGGAUUAGAUACCCCUGUAGUC
rnacentral:rRNA from 1 species